AGAUGAGUCUCUUGAAGGCAGCAUAUUGUUGGAUCUUUUUUUAAAAACCCAAUCUGCCAGUCUGUGUCUUUUGAUUGGUGAGUUUAGGCCGUUAACAUUCAGGGUUAUUAUUGAGACAUGAUUUGUAUUCCCAGCUAUUUUUGUUUAUUUUUGGUAUUUAACUUGGUUUUUCCUUUGAUUAGUAUUUCCUUUAGUGUAAUACCUGCCUUUGAUGAUUUUCAUUGUUGUUUUUUGUUUCCUCCUCAUGGAAUAUUUUGCCGAGGAUGUUCUGUGUGCAGGCUUUCUAGUUGUAAAUUCUUUUACCUUUUGUUUCUCAUGGAAGGUUUUUAUUUCAACAUCAAAUCUAAAGCUUAAUUUUCCUGGAUAUUAGAUUCUUGGUUGGCAUCCAUUUUCUUUCAGAGCUUGGUAUAUGUUGUUCCAGCAUCUUCUAGUUUUUGGGUCUGGUUUGAAAAAUCUGCAGAUAUCCUAAUUGUUUCCCCCCUAUAUGUAAUCUGAUUCCUUUCUCUUGUGGCUUUUAAAGUUUUUCCUUAUUCUGUAUGCUAAGCAUUUUCAUUAUAAUUAUAAUGUCCUUUUUUGUGGAUUUGUUGUGAUUUUGUACAUUUGGUGUUCUGUAAGCCUCUUAUAUUUGAUUUUCCA
rnacentral:lncRNA from 1 species